rnacentral:rRNA from 1 species
GAUGAACGCUAGCGAUAGGCCUAACACAUGCAAGUCGAGGGGCAUCACAUGAAGUAGCAAUACGGAUGGUGGCGACCGGCGCACGGGUGAGUAACACGUAUGCAACCUGCCUUCAACAAGGGGAUAACCCGUUGAAAGACGGACUAAUACCCUAUAACACAGGGGUCCCGCAUGGGGAUAUUUGUUAAAGGACAACCGGUUGAAGAUGGGCAUGCGUUCCAUUAGCUAGUUGGCGGGUAAGGCCCACCAAGGCAACGAUGGAUAGGGGAACUGAGAGGUUUAUCCCCCACACUGGUACUGAGACACGGACCAGACUCCUACGGGAGGCAGCAGUGAGGAAUAUUGGUCAAUGGACGCAAGUCUGAACCAGCCACGUCGCGUGAAGGAAGACGGCCCUACGGGUUGUAAACUUCUUUUGCAAGGGAAUAAAGUGGGCCACGUGUGGCCUUUUGCAAGUACCUUGCGAAUAAGGAUCGGCUAACUCCGUGCCAGCAGCCGCGGUAA